rnacentral:rRNA from 1 species
GUCACUGACGAGUUUGAUCCUGGCUCAGAACGAACGCUGGCGGCAGGCCUAACACAUGCAAGUCGAACGAACCUUCGGGUUAGUGGCGCACGGGUGCGUAACACGUGGGAAUAUACAUUUCGGUAAGGAAUAACACAGAGAAAUUUGUGCUAAUACCUUAUAAUGACUCCGGUCCAAAGAUUUAUCGCCGAAGGAUUAGCCCGCGCUAGAUUAGUUUGUUGGUGAGGUAAGAGCUCACCAAGACUACGAUCUAUAGCUGGUCUUAGAGGAUGAUCAGCCACACUGGAACUGAGACACGGUCCAGACUCCUACGGGAGGCAGCAGUGAGGAAUAUUGGACAAUGGGGGCAACCCUGAUCCAGCCAUGCCGCGUGAAUGAAGAAGGCCUUAGGGUUGUAAAAUUCUUUCAGAUGCGAAGAUAAUGACGGUACCAUCAGAAGAAGCUCCGGCUAAAUUCGUG